GCCAGCAUGGUGUAGUGGUUUGAGUGUUGGACUACCACUCUGGAGACCUGGGUUUGAUUUCCCGCUCUGCCA
rnacentral:tRNA from 1 species